rnacentral:rRNA from 1 species
GGUUAAGCGACUAAGCGUACACGGUGGAUGCCCUGGCAGUCAGAGGCGAUGAAGGACGUGCUAAUCUGCGAAAAGCGUCGGUAAGGUGAUAUGAACCGUUAUAACCGGCGAUGUCCGAAUGGGGAAACCCAGUGUGUUUCGACACACUAUCAUUAACUGAAUCCAUAGGUUAAUGAGGCGAACCGGGGGAACUGAAACAUCUAAGUACCCCGAGGAAAAGAAAUCAACCGAGAUUCCCCCAGUAGCGGCGAGCGAACGGGGAGGAGCCCAGAGCCUGAAUCAGUGUGUGUGUUAGUGGAAGCGUCUGGAAAGGCGCGCGAUACAGGGUGACAGCCCCGUACACAAAAAUGCACAUGCUGUGAGCUCGAUGAGUAGGGCGGGACACGUGGUAUCCUGUCUGAAUAUGGGGGGACCAUCCUCCAAGGCUAAAUACUCCUGACUGACCGAUAGUGAACCAGUACCGUGAGGGAAAGGCGAAAAGAACCCCGGCGAGGGGAGUGAAAAAGAACCUGAAACCGUGUACGUACAAGCAGUGGGAGCCCUGAUUUAUCAGGGUGACUGCGUACCUUUUGUAUAAUGGGUCAGCGACUUAUAUUCUGUAGCAAGGUUAACCGAAUAGGGGAGCCGGAGGGAAACCGAGUCUUAACUGGGCGUUAAGUUGCAGGGUAUAGACCCGAAACCCGGUGAUCUAGCCAUGGGCAGGUUGAAGGUUGGGUAACACUAACUGGAGGACCGAACCGACUAAUGUUGAAAAAUUAGCGGAUGACUUGUGGCUGGGGGUGAAAGGCCAAUCAAACCGGGAGAUAGCUGGUUCUCCCCGAAAGCUAUUUAGGUAGCGCCUCGUGAAUUCAUCUCCGGGGGUAGAGCACUGUUUCGGCAAGGGGGUCAUCCCGACUUACCAACCCGAUGCAAACUGCGAAUACCGGAGAAUGUUAUCACGGGAGACACACGGCGGGUGCUAACGUCCGUCGUGAAGAGGGAAACAACCCAGACCGCCAGCUAAGGUCCCAAAGUCAUGGUUAAGUGGGAAACGAUGUGGGAAGGCCCAGACAGCCAGGAUGUUGGCUUAGAAGCAGCCAUCAUUUAAAGAAAGCGUAAUAGCUCACUGGUCGAGUCGGCCUGCGCGGAAGAUGUAACGGGGCUAAACCAUGCACCGAAGCUGCGGCAGCGACACUGUGUGUUGUUGGGUAGGGGAGCGUUCUGUAAGCCUGCGAAGGUGUGCUGUGAGGUAUGCUGGAGGUAUCAGAAGUGCGAAUGCUGACAUAAGUAACGAUAAAGCGGGUGAAAAGCCCGCUCGCCGGAAGACCAAGGGUUCCUGUCCAACGUUAAUCGGGGCAGGGUGAGUCGACCCCUAAGGCGAGGCCGAAAGGCGUAGUCGAUGGGAAACAGGUUAAUAUUCCUGUACUUGGUGUUACUGCGAAGGGGGGACGGAGAAGGCUAUGUUGGCCGGGCGACGGUUGUCCCGGUUUAAGCGUGUAGGCUGGUUUUCCAGGCAAAUCCGGAAAAUCAAGGCUGAGGCGUGAUGACGAGGCACUACGGUGCUGAAGCGACAAAUGCCCUGCUUCCAGGAAAAGCCUCUAAGCAUCAGGUAACAUCAAAUCGUACCCCAAACCGACACAGGUGGUCAGGUAGAGAAUACCAAGGCGCUUGAGAGAACUCGGGUGAAGGAACUAGGCAAAAUGGUGCCGUAACUUCGGGAGAAGGCACGCUGAUAUGUAGGUGAAGCGACUUGCUCGUGGAGCUGAAAUCAGUCGAAGAUACCAGCUGGCUGCAACUGUUUAUUAAAAACACAGCACUGUGCAAACACGAAAGUGGACGUAUACGGUGUGACGCCUGCCCGGUGCCGGAAGGUUAAUUGAUGGGGUCAGCGCAAGCGAAGCUCUUGAUCGAAGCCCCGGUAAACGGCGGCCGUAACUAUAACGGUCCUAAGGUAGCGAAAUUCCUUGUCGGGUAAGUUCCGACCUGCACGAAUGGCGUAAUGAUGGCCAGGCUGUCUCCACCCGAGACUCAGUGAAAUUGAACUCGCUGUGAAGAUGCAGUGUACCCGCGGCAAGACGGAAAGACCCCGUGAACCUUUACUAUAGCUUGACACUGAACACUGGUCCUUGAUGUGUAGGAUAGGUGGGAGGCUUUGAAGUGUGGACGCCAGUCUGCAUGGAGCCGUCCUUGAAAUACCACCCUUUAAUGGCUGGUGUUCUAACGUGGGCCCGUAAUCCGGGUUGCGGACAGUGUCUGGUGGGUAGUUUGACUGGGGCGGUCUCCUCCUAAAGAGUAACGGAGGAGCACGAAGGUUGGCUAAUCCUGGUCGGACAUCAGGAGGUUAGUGCAAUGGCAUAAGCCAGCUUGACUGCGAGCGUGACGGCGCGAGCAGGUGCGAAAGCAGGUCAUAGUGAUCCGGUGGUUCUGAAUGGAAGGGCCAUCGCUCAACGGAUAAAAGGUACUCCGGGGAUAACAGGCUGAUACCGCCCAAGAGUUCAUAUCGACGGCGGUGUUUGGCACCUCGAUGUCGGCUCAUCACAUCCUGGGGCUGAAGUAGGUCCCAAGGGUAUGGCUGUUCGCCAUUUAAAGUGGUACGCGAGCUGGGUUUAGAACGUCGUGAGACAGUUCGGUCCCUAUCUGCCGUGGGCGCUGGAGAACUGAGGGGGGCUGCUCCUAGUACGAGAGGACCGGAGUGGACGCAUCACUGGUGUUCGGGUUGUCAUGCCAAUGGCACUGCCCGGUAGCUAAAUGCGGAAGAGAUAAGUGCUGAAAGCAUCUAAGCACGAAACUUGCCCCGA